rnacentral:rRNA from 1 species
UCGGACUAGGAUAUAGCUGGUUUUCUGCGAAAUCUAUUUUGGUAGAUAGCUUAAAUAAUAAUGUUUAUUAGUCUUAUUAGUGGGUAUAGCACUGAAUAUCUAAUUUUAUUUGAAGGGAGUAUGAAAGUACUUACUUUGGAUAUUUAAUCUCAGAAUAACUAAUGGAUGAAAAGUAAUUAAGUUGUCAGACUUUUUGCGAUAAGGUGGGAAGUCAAGAGGGAAACAGCCCAGAAUAAUUUAUAAAGUUCUAAAAUUGUUACUGAG